GUCGUAACAAGGUUUCCGUAGGUGAACCUGCGGAAGGAUCAUUACCACACCGAUCCACGAUCUUAAUAACACGUGAAGUGAGGAUAGAGCUUUAAGGCUAAUGCCUGUUUGCUCUACUUCUAUGAAACACUGCUUUGACAGCGAACGGAUGUUGGUUCCCGUUUGACUAUUUUACUUCAAUCACUGGUAUUGACACUAUAAACAUGAAACGUGAAAGGAAGGUUUGCGUAAGCAAUCUUUUCUGAAACAUGUACAAUCAAAUGUGCAAGUAUACAACUUUCAGCAACGGAUGUCUAGGCUCCCA
rnacentral:misc_RNA from 1 species